rnacentral:sRNA from 1 species
UUCUCUCUACCCUGCUCGACGGUUGAAACGCCCGGGCGGAAUGCUAUACAAAACGGAAGUCGCUCCCUGCUGUGGUGUGCUGCCUCAUUACGUAGGAAUUGCCUGAAACAGUAUACUGACUUCCACAGUUAAGAAACUCGCCGGAGGCUCUUAAUGCCGACGGCAGGGUGGAGAGAAU